rnacentral:tRNA from 1 species
UCCCAAGCCUUCUGGCGAUCUCUUAAAAUAAAGCCUAGCCUGCUUUACAAAAAAAACGGGCGUUUAGAUACUCUUUAAAUUCUUAUGAACCUUAAAGAGUAUCCAUUUAAAAAAGGCUUUAUGAAGAAAGCACUUUAAGCUUUUCCAGUGAUUUAAGAUGAUACCGGGGAAGGUUUUCCGGUUUAUCCCGGAGGGCUUGUAGCUCAGUUGGUUAGAGCGCGCGCUUGAUAAGCGUGAGGUCGGAGGUUCAAGUCCUCCCAGGCCCACCAAUUUAUGCUCGUUUUUUGCUUAUCCAAGAGUGUGAAGCUUAAGCUUAUCAAAGCCUCUUUUAAUCUUUGUUUAUUUUAAAGAUUUAAUUUUAUCAUUCAAAGAUUGUUUGUUAAAUUUAUUCUAUUAAGUUUGUCAAAGGGGGAGUUUGUCAAAGGAGGUUUUUAAAUCCCUUCAUUUUGAAAUUCCUUCAAGGGGAUAGGAAAAUUUAAAUGUUGCAAAUCAAAAUAGUCAAAAGUCAUUCAAGGUGAUGAGUUUUCUUGAGGUUGAUUUGAAAGAGCAUUAUUUAGGGGCCGUAGCUCAGCUGGGAGAGCACCCUGCUUUGC